UGAACUGGGAUGACAGUGGGUGGCCUAAGAGUCGUGGGCCCUGAAUACAUGUCUGGAAGUCUGAGAUUCAC